rnacentral:rRNA from 1 species
UACGAAGGGGGCUAGCGUUGUUCGGAAUUACUGGGCGUAAAGGGCGCGUAGGCGGUCCUUCAAGUCAGGCGUGAAAGCCCCGGGCUCAACCUGGGAACCGCGCUUGAGACUGGCGGGCUAGAGUUCGGGAGAGGAUGGUGGAAUUCCCAGUGUAGAGGUGAAAUUCGUAGAUAUUGGGAAGAACACCGAUGGCGAAGGCAGCCAUCUGGGACCGACACUGACGCUGAGGCGCGAAAGCGUGGGGAGCAAACAGG